UAUGAGACCUCUGGUUGAGCAAAGCCAGACCCAGUUCUGGGCUCAGGCCCUAUGCAGCAGAACAUACUGCUACACUGGUGUCACAUCCCACCCCCAGGAGAGCUGGAAGAGGUUUCUGCACAGGACCUGUUUUUGGUUUUUCGCCCAGCUGCAUUGCUCUGAAGACUGAUGAGUGCACUCUGGAAGCUAAUUAGAAGUUUCUUGCACAGUUUGACUAAAAUUGGUCAAACUGUUAUGGAGAUCCAGGUCAGAGACAUUACUCAGAUUUGGAUUUGCUCCUUAAAUUGUAGGUUUUGGAGUAUGCUCAUCCAUCUGAACUAGAAAAAUCUUUCCACUGGGCAGUCUGGGCCAAGGCAGGUUUGUACCUGGGGCAUUUGACAUCACCACUGUUCAAAAAGUUGGAAAGACAGCAACGAAAUUAUUCCUAAUCUUGUCUCUAGGCUGCUUCAGAAUGUCUGUGUUGCUUAAAAAGGCAGAUUUGCUACUGGACAGAGACUGAGAGCUACAACGUGAGGCUGAAGGGACGGGUGCAGUUAAAAUCAACUAAAAGUGGUUGUACAGAAGUUUUGACUUUUGCUCUCAAUGAAAACUGGGAGUUUUGGGGCUUGCAGAGCAGAAAAUCUGCUUUCUGUGUUGCUUUAAAGCCUUCUCCUCAAGUCCAUCCGUGGUUGUGAUGUAAAUGGUGCAGGUCAUCCUUGGAGCCUUCGCUCCUUUUCUGCAGCAGCAGUGUGUAGAAUGGCAGCUCAUUGGCUCAGGGCUGCUGCAUACUGCGAGAGUUUGUGUUGCCUUCUCCUUAGAGAUGUUUGAGUGACCUUGAAACACGAAACCCAUCUUGAUAACUGCAUCACAGCUUUUGGUGAUCCAAGGUCACACUCUGGACAGGACACGAUGGACAUCCUGCAACCCACAGCCUGGCAAUGCUGUUUGUCCCAAGCUGUCGGUAUCUCUGCUGAAAAAAAAGAGAAAUGUUGCAGACUUACAUGACAAGCCAAAUCCUGGGAUUUAUCACUGCCUCCUGAGGGAUUAGAGCAGCAGGAAGGAGCUGAGCCUGUGUUUUCUUUCUGAUGGGUGAUUGCUGUGGAUGUUGCUUCUUCUUAGCCUUCCUGACAAGAGCUUCGGAUUUGCUUCUUGCAUCUAAGCUGUGUGAUGAAUGGUUGGGGUGAUUCCAUGGACCUUUGCAGCAGCUUAAGAUGCUGUGUGGUUUUGUUGCUUCCUGAAGUUGCUGUGGCAGCAGGCAGCCCCGUGGCUGCGCCAGGAGCCUCCGGCCCCAUCUCUGUGCUAUGUGAGCACUUCUCAAGCAGGUGGGCUCUGUGCCUGGCCCCUUUGGCUUCCCCACUGCAUCCAGGGUAACUAAUGAUGCUGGGAGAGACAUUGAGGCCCUUUUCCAGAAGAUCUCCCAUUGGUCUUGCCAUUCACAAGCAAUGCAUUUCAAUAGCAGUCCUUGGAGAGAGGAACUAGAGAGGUUGGACCACAGCGUUUCCAAAUAUCUUCCUGGACCAGUACAAAUACUGGUGGUCCCUGGAACAGCCCCAGCGUGGCACGUUCCCAGGGCUGUGAGUUCCACAAGCUGCAGUGCCAGGCAGGGAUGCUCACUUCAUCCAUGCAGGCUUUGGGUGCUGUACACUUGGGUUGCCUGAAUGCACUUCCUGGUGUUUCCUUGACAAGGCACUUCUUAAAGCUUUUAUUUUCUAUUUGGGAACUAGGGUAGGAAUUUAGGAAAGGCCAAACAUCUCUAGGAGCUCAAAGAUGUGGUUUUAGGCUCAAUCUGGGCUGGCAGGAUUGAAAGAAGUCAGCGAAGACUGGUGAGAAGUCUUUAGAGGUGUGGUAUGAAAAGAAUUCCAAUGACUGAUCUUAACAGGGCCAGGGAUUUGUGAGAGCACAUUGACACUGGGCAUCAAGCACGCAGUAAUGAGCCUUAGUCAUUAGAAAGAAAAGACCAGGCCUUUACAUUUCAAGGUGAAGCAGAAGGGUUGGUCGUGGCCCCCCCCAAAAAAUUCAGUAAACAAACGCAGUCUGGAGAGGAAAGGAGCCAAGCUCAGAUGCUGCAACGUGAUCCAGAGGGAACCAGAUUGAUUUUGUAAAACUUCUGUCAAUGCGUUUUAGCAAAUCAGUGCAUCCCAUUUGGCCUGGCUUCCUUCAGGGAGGUCACUGGUUAAUCUAAUGCAGGCAAUGAACCACUUCCUUUCUGUUUAUUCUUUGAUUCUGCUUUUCUAGCAGGUAUGGCUUUGCAACCAGCAUGAGAAAACUGUGUUUACUGCCAGCACCUGAAAGCAUUCCGCUCCAACAGAUGCCUGUAUUUCAUUUCAAACACAUCAGGAUGUCUCUAAUUCUCUGGCAAUGGGAAGUUGUGUGUAGUGAAUUCUGGAAUACUUUUUUAAUAAGUUCUCUAGUAAGGAUGCAGUUAAGCUGAAUUUUAAAAGCAAAGAUAAAAUGUCUGGUUGCCUUCUUAUAAUAAUCUCUCUUAGCAGUGAACAAUGAAAGCACCUGUAUGAUGCGUACAAAUGAAGUGACUGCAAUUAAAAGUUAUGCAAGCAGGAAAAUUGUCAGAAGUCUCUGUAAGAGCAGGGAAAAUAUCACUAAUAGACUCUGGGAAUAAGGGCUGUGGAAGGCAGAGACAUGGGAAAUAUUUAUUGCAAUAUGUCAUUGCAAUGCAUAUAAAAGAAGCAGGAAGGCAACACACCAAAAGGAGACUUGGCCUUUUUUUUGUACUUGGGAGGAUACAUUGGAGAAUUUUCUUUUGGCAACAGAAGAUGACAAGGAAGUGUCUGACGUUUCUGUGAUCCACAUUUGCAGCUUCAGGUUCUGAGAUAAGAACACUCUGAAUGUUUUUCAAGGAUAAAUCAGCAAGAAGAUGAUUAAAGUUGUUUGCUUUCAAAAUGUA